rnacentral:lncRNA from 1 species
GAUGAAAAUGGGUAGGACUCGGAUAAGAUACUAUAGUACCCAUCCCCAUACCGGCGAAUUGAAAAAAUAUUCGUACACAUCUCCAUACCCGCGUGGAUAACAACUUUUAAUCUCGUCUUCAUACUCUAUGGGUUCCAAAAUGCGGGUUUUUACCCUAUCAUUCAGCUAAUUUUUGCUGCUAGAUAUAAUCAAAUUGUCAUCCCUAUCACCCUAUGAUUAGACGACUAGAGGCACAAAAUCAAAUUUCAGCGAUCAAACGCGUUUCAAAUUCAAUCCAACGCCAACGCGAUUAAACUUCUUUCAAUUUCGAUUAUACCGAACAAAAUCAAUAAUCGCUUAAACAAUGAAGGAAGAUAGCACCGUUAGGGUUUCUUCUUCCAAUGAAGCAUCUGCAGCCAACGAAGCUUCGCAAACAAGACAGAGG